rnacentral:rRNA from 1 species
UAACCCACCCUUGAGACGGGGAAAACCCCGGGAAACUGGGGUUAAUCCCCGAUAAGAGAAGACACUUGGAACGGGUCUCCUCUCAAAGGGCGCCUAGACCAUGCUUCUGGGCGUUGCUCAAGGACGGGGCCGCGGCCGAUCAGGUUGUUGGUGAGGCAAAGGCUCACCAAGCCUAUAACCGGUACGGGCCGUGAGAGCGGGAGCCCGGAGAUGGGUACUGAGACACGGACCCAGGCCCUAUGGGGCGCAGCAGGCGAGAAAACUUUGCAAUGUGCGAAAGCACGACAAGGUUAAUCCGAGUGGUUUCUGCUAAAGGAACCUUUUGCCAGUCCUAGAAACACUGGUGAAUAAGGGGUGGGCAAGUUCUGGUGUCAGCCGCCGCGGUAAAACCAGCACCUCAAGUGGUCAGGAUGAUUAUUUGGGCCUAAAGCAUCCGUAGCCUGCUUUGUCA